rnacentral:rRNA from 1 species
GUUAUUGUUUAUUUGAUACAACAAAUGGAUAACUGUAGAAAAACUAGAGCUAAUACAUGCUUUAAUCGUAAGAUUGUAUUUAUUAGAUAUUCUGAAUUGGUGAAUCAUAAUAACUUCGCAAAUCUCGUUUAUGACGAGAUAAAUCAUCCAAGUUUCUGCCCUAUCAUGCUUUCGAUGGUAGUGUAUUGGACUACCAUGGCUCUCACGGGUAACAGGGAAUUAGGGUUCGAUUCUGGAGAAGGAGCCUGAGAAACGGCUACUACAUCUACGGAAGGCAGCAGGCGCGUAAAUUACCCAAUCCUGACUCAGGGAGGUGGUGACAAGAUAUAACGACGCGGUUAUUAUCGCGAUUGUAGUGAGGGUAUUCUAAACAGAACCUAUAGUACGAUUAGAGGGCAAGUCUGGUGCCAGCAGCCGCGGUAAUUCCAGCUCUAAUAGCGUAUAUUAAAGUUGCUGCAGUUAAAAAGCUCGUAGUUGGAUUUCAAGGAUUGUAGAACCUCCACGGGGAUACAUCCUACUAGUCUUCGGACUGUUACUGUGAGAAAAUUAGAGUGUUUCAAGCAGGCUUUCGCAAGAAUACAUUAGCAUGGAAUAACGAAUGUAUUUAGAAUCUUGGUUAAUUCUAAAUUACGAUUAAUAGAGACAGUUGGGGGCAUUAGUAUUUAAUUGUCAGAGGUGAAAUUCUUGGAUUUGUUAAAGACUAACGUAUGCGAAAGCAUUUGCCAAGGAUGUUUUCAUUAAUCAAGGACGAAAGAUAGGGGAUC